CUACGGGACGCUGCAGUGGGGAAUAUUGGACAAUGGGGGAAACCCUGAUCCAGCAAUGCCGCGUGUGCGAAGAAGGCCUGCGGGUUGUAAAGCACUUUCGGUUGGGAGGACUGCUUCUAGCACUAAUAUUGUUGGAAGUUGACGUUACCUUCAGAAGAAGCACCGGCUAACUCCGUGCCAGCAGCCGCGGUAAUACGGAGGGUGCAAGCGUGUAAUCGGAAUUACUGGGCGUAAAGCGCGCGUAGGCGGCUAGAUCAGUCGGGUGUGAAAGCCCCGGGCUUAACCUGGGAACUGCAUCCGAUACUGUCUAGCUUGAGUACAGGAGAGGAGAGUGGAAUUCCACAUGUAGCGGUGAAAUGCGUAGAUAUGUGGAGGAACACUAAUGGCGAAGGCAGCUCUCUGGCCUGAUACUGACGCUGAGGUGCGAAAGCGUGGGGAGCAAACAGGAUUAGAUACCCGUGUAGUC
rnacentral:rRNA from 1 species